GACGAACGCUGGCGGCGUGCUUAACACAUGCAAGUCGAGCGGUAAGGCCUUUCGGGGUACACGAGCGGCGAACGGGUGAGUAACACGUGGGUGAUCUGCCCUGCACUUCGGGAUAAGCCUGGGAAACUGGGUCUAAUACCGGAUAUGACCUCCUAUCGCAUGGUGGGUGGUGGAAAGAUUUAUCGGUGCAGGAUGGGCCCGCGGCCUAUCAGCUUGUUGGUGGGGUAAUGGCCUACCAAGGCGACGACGGGUAGCCGACCUGAGAGGGUGACCGGCCACACUGGGACUGAGACACGGCCCAGACUCCUACGGGAGGCAGCAGUGGGGAAUAUUGCACAAUGGGCGAAAGCCUGAUGCAGCGACGCCGCGUGAGGGGUGACGGCCUUCGGGUUGUAAACCUCUUUCAGCAGGGACGAAGCGCAAGUGACGGUACCUGCAGAAGAAGCACCGGCUAACUACGUG
rnacentral:rRNA from 1 species